rnacentral:misc_RNA from 1 species
GAAAUGCGAUAAGUAAUGUGAAUUGCAGAAUUCCGUGAAUCAUCGAAUCUUUGAACGCACAUUGCGCCCUCUGGUACUCCGGGGGGUACGCCUGUCCGAGCGUCAUUUCAGCCCUCAAGCCCGGCUUGCGUGAUGGGCGCCUGUCACCCCAGGGGACACGCCUGAAAGGCAGUGGCGGCGUCGAGGUUGUCCGAUUUGCCUGAGUGUAUGGGGCUCCGUCACACGCUCACGGCGAGGACCGGCGCCAGUCCAAUCGUCAUUUCUCUCCGGUUGACCUCGGAUCAGGUGGGGAUACCCGCUGAACUUAA